rnacentral:rRNA from 1 species
AUUGAACGCUGGCGGCAUGCCUUACACAUGCAAGUCGAACGGCAGCACGGGUGCUUGCACCUGGUGGCGAGUGGCGAACGGGUGAGUAAUACAUCGGAACGUACCUUAUCGUGGGGGAUAACGCAGCGAAAGUUGCGCUAAUACCGCAUACGCCCUGAGGGGGAAAGCGGGGGACCGUAAGGACUCGCGCGAUUAGAGCGGCCGAUGUCUGAUUAGCUUGUUGGUGAGGUAAAAGCUCACCAAGGCGAUGAUCAGUAGCUGGUCUGAGAGGACGAUCAGCCACACUGGGACUGAGACACGGCCCAGACUCCUACGGGAGGCAGCAGUGGGGAAUUUUGGACAAUGGGGGCAACCCUGAUCCAGCAAUGCCGCGUGAGUGAAGAAGGCCUUCGGGUUGUAAAGCUCUUUUGUCAGGGAAGAAACAGCAGCUCUAACACAGUCUGCGAAUGACGGUACCUGAAGAAUAAGCACCGGCUAACUACGUGCCAGCAGCCGCCGCAG